rnacentral:lncRNA from 1 species
AUAUCCAUCGGGAUCAAUCUUAAACUUUUCUUUUCAUUAUAUAUCCUUCUUCUCCAAGUAGAAUCUCAAUCUUUUGAACCUUUGAUCACAUGUUGAUCUCUGACUGUAGUGUCAACACUUGAAUUGCGACCUUUCUCCCUUUUGCUUGAUGUAGAAGAAGACACCCUUCUGAAGGAAUCAGAUCUAGGGUUUCAGGGUUAGAUCUUGAAAUUUUUUCAAGAUC